GCCGAAAGGCCUGUAGAUCACCAGUAACUAAUAAAAGAAGAAGUAGCUUAUCGUGCACCAGCAUGGACGUAUCAUAGAAUCACCAGAGGCUGUAGUUCCGUCUAACUUCAUGAAGGCGUUGGUUCUCAGGUGGAAGAGGAACACCGCCUUACUGCUCACUACAAAGGUUGUGCAAUGAAGGCUAAAAUCCGAGACAGUAUGGACAGAAAAAGGAUGAUGGCUGCAUAGUUGACUGGUGGUAAUGUGAAAUAGCUCCACCUGGACUUCGGCCAGUUAGUCCAAUGGAGGCCAUUUUUGAGGCG